GGGUUGUGAGGUUAAGCGACUAAGCGUACACGGUGGAUGCCCUGGCAGUCAGAGGCGAUGAAGGACGUGCUAAUCUGCGAAAAGCGCCGGCGAGGUGAUAUGAACCUUUGACCCGGCGAUGUCCGAAUGGGGAAACCCAGUGUGAUUCGUCACACUAUCGUUAACUGAAUACAUAGGUUAACGAGGCGAACCGGGGGAACUGAAACAUCUAAGUACCCCGAGGAAAAGAAAUCAACCGAGAUUCCCCCAGUAGCGGCGAGCGAACGGGGAGCAGCCCAGAGUCUGAAUCAGCUUGUGUGUUAGUGGAAGCGUCUGGAAAGUCGCACGGUACAGGGUGACAGUCCCGUACACGAAAGCACACAGGUUGUGAACUCGAAGAGUAGGGCGGGACACGUGGUAUCCUGUCUGAAUAUGGGGGGACCAUCCUCCAAGGCUAAAUACUCCUGACUGACCGAUAGUGAACCAGUACCGUGAGGGAAAGGCGAAAAGAACCCCGGCGAGGGGAGUGAAAAAGAACCUGAAACCGUGUACGUACAAGCAGUGGGAGCACCUUCGGGUGUGACUGCGUACCUUUUGUAUAAUGGGUCAGCGACUUAUAUUCUGUAGCAAGGUUAACCGUAUAGGGGAGCCGAAGGGAAACCGAGUCUUAACUGGGCGUUAAGUUGCAGGGUAUAGACCCGAAACCCGGUGAUCUAGCCAUGGGCAGGUUGAAGGUUGGGUAACACUAACUGGAGGACCGAACCGACUAAUGUUGAAAAAUUAGCGGAUGACUUGUGGCUGGGGGUGAAAGGCCAAUCAAACCGGGAGAUAGCUGGUUCUCCCCGAAAGCUAUUUAGGUAGCGCCUCGUGAACUCAUCUUCGGGGGUAGAGCACUGUUUCGGCUAGGGGGCCAUCCCGGCUUACCAACCCGAUGCAAACUACGAAUACCGAAGAAUGUUAUCACGGGAGACACACGGCGGGUGCUAACGUCCGUCGUGAAGAGGGAAACAACCCAGACCGCCAGCUAAGGUCCCAAAGUCAUGGUUAAGUGGGAAACGAUGUGGGAAGGCACAGACAGCCAGGAUGUUGGCUUAGAAGCAGCCAUCAUUUAAAGAAAGCGUAAUAGCUCACUGGUCGAGUCGGCCUGCGCGGAAGAUGUAACGGGGCUAAACCAUGCACCGAAGCUGCGGCAGCGACGCUUAUGCGUUGUUGGGUAGGGGAGCGUUCUGUAAGCCGUUGAAGGUGGCCUGUGAGGGUUGCUGGAGGUAUCAGAAGUGCGAAUGCUGACAUAAGUAACGAUAAAGCGGGUGAAAAGCCCGCUCGCCGGAAGACCAAGGGUUCCUGUCCAACGUUAAUCGGGGCAGGGUGAGUCGACCCCUAAGGCGAGGCCGAAAGGCGUAGUCGAUGGGAAACAGGUUAAUAUUCCUGUACUUGGUGUUACUGCGAAGGGGGGACGGAGAAGGCUAUGUUAGCCGGGCGACGGUUGUCCCGGUUUAAGCAUGUAGGCGGAACGAUUAGGUAAAUCCGGUCGUUUUUUAACGCUGAGGUGUGAUGACGAGGCACUACGGUGCUGAAGUAACAAAUGCCCUGCUUCCAGGAAAAGCCUCUAAGCAUCAGGUAACAUCAAAUCGUACCCCAAACCGACACAGGUGGUCAGGUAGAGAAUACCAAGGCGCUUGAGAGAACUCGGGUGAAGGAACUAGGCAAAAUGGUGCCGUAACUUCGGGAGAAGGCACGCUGAUAUGUAGGUGAAGCCCCUGCGGGUGGAGCUGAAAUCAGUCGAAGAUACCAGCUGGCUGCAACUGUUUAUUAAAAACACAGCACUGUGCAAACACGAAAGUGGACGUAUACGGUGUGACGCCUGCCCGGUGCCGGAAGGUUAAUUGAUGGGGUUAGCGGCAACGCGAAGCUCUUGAUCGAAGCCCCGGUAAACGGCGGCCGUAACUAUAACGGUCCUAAGGUAGCGAAAUUCCUUGUCGGGUAAGUUCCGACCUGCACGAAUGGCGUAAUGAUGGCCAGGCUGUCUCCACCCGAGACUCAGUGAAAUUGAACUCGCUGUGAAGAUGCAGUGUACCCGCGGCAAGACGGAAAGACCCCGUGAACCUUUACUAUAGCUUGACACUGAACACUGGUCCUUGAUGUGUAGGAUAGGUGGGAGGCUUUGAAGUGUGGACGCCAGUCUGCAUGGAGCCGUCCUUGAAAUACCACCCUUUAAUGGCUGGUGUUCUAACGUAGACCCGUGAUCCGGGUUGCGGACAGUGUCUGGUGGGUAGUUUGACUGGGGCGGUCUCCUCCCAAAGAGUAACGGAGGAGCACGAAGGUUAGCUAAUCCUGGUCGGACAUCAGGAGGUUAGUGCAAUGGCAUAAGCUAGCUUGACUGCGAGAGUGACGGCUCGAGCAGGUGCGAAAGCAGGUCAUAGUGAUCCGGUGGUUCUGAAUGGAAGGGCCAUCGCUCAACGGAUAAAAGGUACUCCGGGGAUAACAGGCUGAUACCGCCCAAGAGUUCAUAUCGACGGCGGUGUUUGGCACCUCGAUGUCGGCUCAUCACAUCCUGGGGCUGAAGUAGGUCCCAAGGGUAUGGCUGUUCGCCAUUUAAAGUGGUACGCGAGCUGGGUUUAGAACGUCGUGAGACAGUUCGGUCCCUAUCUGCCGUGGGCGCUGGAGAAUUGAGGGGGGCUGCUCCUAGUACGAGAGGACCGGAGUGGACGCAUCACUGGUGUUCGGGUUGUCAUGCCAAUGGCACUGCCCGGUAGCUAAAUGCGGAAAAGAUAAGUGCUGAAAGCAUCUAAGCACGAAACUUGCCCCGAGAUGAGUUCUCCCUGAGACUUUAAGUCUCCUGAAGGAACGUUGAAGACGACGACGUUGAUAGGUCGGGUGUGUAAGCGCAGCGAUGCGUUGAGCUAACCGAUACUAAUGAACCGUGAGGCUUAACCUUACAACGCCGAAG
rnacentral:rRNA from 1 species